GAUGAACGCUAGCGGCAGGCCUAAUACAUGCAAGUCGAGGGGCAUCACAGGUAGCAAUACUGGGUGGCGACCGGCAAACGGGUGCGGAACACGUACGUAACCUUCCUUUAAGUGGGAGAUAGCCCGAAGAAAUUCGGAUUAAUACCCCAUAAGAUUGUGGAGUGGCAUCACUCAGCAAUUAAAGAAUUUCGCUUAAAGAU
rnacentral:rRNA from 1 species